rnacentral:rRNA from 1 species
GACGAACGCUGGCGGCGUGCUUAAUACAUGCAAGUCGAACGGAAAGGCCCUGCUUUUGUGGGGUGCUCGAGUGGCGAACGGGUGAGUAACACGUGAGUAACCUGCCCUUGACUUUGGGAUAACUCCAGGAAACUGGGGCUAAUACCGGAUAGGAGCUCCUGCUGCAUGGUGGGGGUUGGAAAGUUUCGGUGGUUGGGGAUGGACUCGCGGCUUCUCAGCUUGUUGGUGGGGUAGUGGCUUACCAAGGCUUUGGCGGGUAGCCGGCCUGGGAGGGUGACCGGGCACAUAGGGACUGAGAUACGGCCCAGACUCCUACGGGAGGCAGAAGUGGGAAAUAUUGCACAAUGGGCGGAAGCCUGAUGCAGCAACGCCGCGUGCGGGAUGACGGCCUUCGGGUUGUAAACCGCUUUCGCCUGUAACGAAGCGUGAGUGACGGUAAUGGGUAAAGAAGCACCGGCUAACUACGUG